UACGUAGGGUGCAAGCGUUAAUCGGAAUUACUGGGCGUAAAGCGUGCGCAGGCGGUUUUGUAAGUCUGUUGUGAAAUCCCCGGGCUCAACCUGGGAAUUGCGUUGGAGACUGCAAGGCUGGAGUCUGGCAGAGGGGGGUAGAAUUCCACGUGUAGCAGUGAAAUGCGUAGAGAUGUGGAGGAACACCGAUGGCGAAGGCAGCCCCCUGGGUCAAGACUGACGCUCAUGCACGAAAGCGUGGGGAGCAAACAGG
rnacentral:rRNA from 1 species